CCGCCAGCGUUAUAAUGCCCGAUACCACCACACCUUGGGGAGGGGGGUAACAGACAGCAGCCGGCAGUUAGCAGGUUGCCUAAUUAGGAUCAAAAGAGGAGGUACAAAGGAGGGAAGGAAACGAACCACAAACACACACACAGACACACACGCACACGAGUGAAGCUGAUACCUUAGGGAUAGAAGGAUACUCCAUGCAUGGAUAUCUUCGGGGGUAGGGUAAGGAAAAGAGGAUUAUGUGACGUUUCAAAGCCAAGGUUAAAGUUGCUAAGAGCGUUGAUGUCCUGCGUUGUAUCAAAGGGUGUUGCCGCUGAAGACGUGUUGUUUACUGGUAGAAGUCAACCAGUGAGAAAACCAUGUAAAACCAUCGCCUCGGACUGAAACUGUCCACCGCUACUACCACCACACGUGAGUGCAAACCCAUCCAACCCCCAUCCCCUCUGCCCUCCGCCCAGAUUGUGGACC
rnacentral:lncRNA from 1 species